CCUACGGUGAGCAGCAGUCGAGAAUUAUUCACAAUGGGGGAAACCCUGAUGGUGCGACGCCGCGUGGGGGAAUGAAGGUCUUCGGAUUGUAAACCCCUGUCAUGUGGGAGCAAAUUAAAAAGAUAGUACCACAAGAGGAAGAGACGGCUAACUCUGUGCCAGCAGCCGCGGUAAUACAGAGGUCUCAAGCGUUGUUCGGAAUCACUGGGCGUAAAGCGUGCGUAGGCUGUUUCGUAAGUCGUGUGUGAAAGGCGCGGGCUCAACCCGCGGACGGCACAUGAUACUGCGAGACUAGAGUAAUGGAGGGGGAACCGGAAUUCUCGGUGUAGCAGUGAAAUGCGUAGAUAUCGAGAGGAACACUCGUGGCGAAGGCGGGUUCCUGGACAUUAACUGACGCUGAGGCACGAAGGCCAGGGGAGCGAAAGGGAUUAGAUACCCCAGUAGUC
rnacentral:rRNA from 1 species